AAUUUUUGUAUAGCAUAUGCCUCGAAGUCAUAAAGUCUGUACAUAAGUAAUUUAAAAUACUCAAUAUUACCAUUUAAUUAAAAAUUAAAACGUCAGGUAAAUAUCAGGUCUCUAGUAUAUCCCGUUUUUAGUGUGCCCCUUCGAGUCGACGUCGGACACAUGUUUGUCAUGGUUUACAAACUGAAAAUAGAAUGAUUUGUGAAGUUGAACAUUUUCUCACAAAGAAUCCGUUUGUAGACAUGCACACUCAUUUAAUCUGGAGCUACGAAGUACUUUGUCACUUCUCUGGAACAUUAUUCUAAGCAGAAUUAUCCCGAUUCAUAUAUUCUAAGAAUCUUGUGUGAAUUGUUUACGAGGAAAUGCUGACUGUCACAUUAACAAGGAUAAACACUCUUGACUCUGCUUCGGAUUCCCCAGUGAUAAUUGUAUCGAGUGGUGAAAGAGCUGACGGCGACAUUUUAAUGUAUGAUUGGCUUGGACCAUUGGAAUGAAGUCAUUUCAUGGUGCCACCACUUGGGAUGGUAUUAGCUGCAAAUAUAGACUUGUACUCAGCACUUAUUGCCUUUAAGAAGUACGAGAUCCAUUUUGUGCUAACACCUACCGUGACACAGAAUCUUGGUUUAUGCAGUCUCAUAGGAGUAACCUGUCUAAAGCAUUUAGCAAUGGGAUUGGAACCUGCGACGUGUGACUCAUCUGAAGACUGAAUUUUGAUACCAAGCAUGACCAUGAUUUGCCAGAAGAUCAUCUGUUUGGAUGUGACAUGGAAUAAACAGCAUAGUGAAAAUAAGUCAAGUUUUGGUUUGUGAAGACAAUUUUUAAACACACUGUGUAUCAUUUUUAAAUUUUGAUUUGACAACAUAAAUCCACAAAUAUGAACAUAUCAAUUGCUCUCAGUUUUUCAAGUGAAAUAGUUUUUGUAACAGAAAUACAUGUACCAGUAAUUA